UGGGUAGGGGAGCGUUCUGUAAGCCGUUGAAGGUGAAUCGUAAGGUUUGCUGGAGGUAUCAGAAGUGCGAAUGCUGACAUGAGUAACGACAAAGGGGGUGAAAAACCUCCUCGCCGGAAGACCAAGGGUUCCUGUCCAACGUUAAUCGGGGCAGGGUGAGUCGACCCCUAAGGUGAGGCCGAAAGGCGUAAUCGAUGGGAAACGGGUUAAUAUUCCCGUACUUCUGACUAUUGCGAUGGGGGGACGGAGAAGGCUAGGUGGGCCAGGCGACGGUUGUCCUGGUUCAAGUGCGUAGGCUUGAGAGUUAGGUAAAUCCGGCUCUCUCUAAGGCUGAGACACGACGUCGAGCUACUACGGUAGUGAAGUCAUUGAUGCCAUGCUUCCAGGAAAAGCCUCUAAGCUUCAGAUAGUCAGGAAUCGUACCCCAAACCGACACAGGUGGUCGGGUAGAGAAUACCAAGGCGCUUGAGAGAACUCGGGUGAAGGAACUAGGCAAAAUGGUACCGUAACUUCGGGAGAAGGUACGCUCUUGAUGGUGAAGUCCCUCGCGGAUGGAGCUGACGAGAGUCGCAGAUACCAGGUGGCUGCAACUGUUUAUUAAAAACACAGCACUGUGCAAAAUCGCAAGAUGACGUAUACGGUGUGACGCCUGCCCGGUGCCGGAAGGUUAAUUGAUGGGGUUAGCGCAAGCGAAGCUCUUGAUCGAAGCCCCGGUAAACGGCGGCCGUAACUAUAACGGUCCUAAGGUAGCGAAAUUCCUUGUCGGGUAAGUUCCGACCUGCACGAAUGGCGUAAUGAUGGCCACGCUGUCUCCACCCGAGACUCAGUGAAAUUGAAAUCGCUGUGAAGAUGCAGUGUACCCGCGGCUAGACGGAAAGACCCCGUGAACCUUUACUACAGCUUGGCACUGAACAUUGAACCUACAUGUGUAGGAUAGGUGGGAGGCUAUGAAGACGUGACGCCAGUUGCGUUGGAGCCGUCCUUGAAAUACCACCCUUGUAUGUUUGAUGUUCUAACUUAGACCCAUUAUCUGGGUUGAGGACAGUGCCUGGUGGGUAGUUUGACUGGGGCGGUCUCCUCCCAAAGAGUAACGGAGGAGCACGAAGGUGGGCUAAUCACGGUUGGACAUCGUGAGGUUAGUGCAAUGGCAUAAGCCCGCUUAACUGCGAGAAUGACGGUUCGAGCAGGUGCGAAAGCAGGUCAUAGUGAUCCGGUGGUUCUGUAUGGAAGGGCCAUCGCUCAACGGAUAAAAGGUACUCCGGGGAUAACAGGCUGAUACCGCCCAAGAGUUCAUAUCGACGGCGGUGUUUGGCACCUCGAUGUCGGCUCAUCACAUCCUGGGGCUGAAGUCGGUCCCAAGGGUAUGGCUGUUCGCCAUUUAAAGUGGUACGCGAGCUGGGUUUAGAACGUCGUGAGACAGUUCGGUCCCUAUCUGCCGUGGGCGUUGGAAGAUUGAAGGGGGCUGCUCCUAGUACGAGAGGACCGGAGUGGACGAACCUCUGGUGUUCGGGUUGUGUCGCCAGACGCAUUGCCCGGUAGCUAAGUUCGGAAUUGAUAAGCGCUGAAAGCAUCUAAGCGCGAAGCGAGCCCUGAGAUGAGUCUUCCCUGACAGUUUAACUGUCCUAAAGGGUUGUUCGAGACUAGAACGUUGAUAGGCAGGGUGUGUAAGCGUUGUGAGGCGUUGAGCUAACCUGUACUAAUUGCCCGUGAGGCUUAACCAU
rnacentral:rRNA from 1 species